UACGUAGGGGGCAAGCGUUGUCCGGAAUCAUUGGGCGUAAAGCGCGUGUAGGCGGUUCGGUAAGUCUGCUGUGAAAGUCCAGGGCUCAACCCUGGGAUGCCGGUGGAUACUGUCGAGCUAGAGUACGGAAGAGGCGAGUGGAAUUCCCGGUGUAGCGGUGAAAUGCGCAGAUAUCGGGAGGAACACCAAUUGCGAAGGCAGCUCGCUGGGACGUCACUGACGCUGAGACGCGAAAGCGUGGGGAGCAAACAGGG
rnacentral:rRNA from 1 species